rnacentral:lncRNA from 13 species
AUUGGGGAUAUUGGUGAUCAUGAUAUUGGGUAUAUUGAUGAUAAUGUUACUGGUGAUCAUGAUACUGGGGAUAUUGAUCAUUAUAUUAGGGAUAUUGGUGAUCAUGAUAUUGGGGAUCAUAUGAUAUUGGCGAUCAUAUGAUAUUGGCGAUCAUGAUACUGGCGAUAUUGGUGAUCAUGAUACUGGGGAUAUUGGUGAUCGUGAUAUUGGUGAACAUGAUACUGGCGAUAUUGGCGAUCAUGAGACUGGGGAUAUUAGGAAUAUUAGUGAUCAUGAUAUUGGUGAUCUUGAUACUGGGGAUAUUGGUGAUCAUGAUUUAGGGAUAAUGGUGAUGUUACUGGUGAUCAUGAUACUGGGGAUAUUGGUGAUCGUGAUACUGGGGAUAUUGGUGAUCGUGAUAUUGGCGAUCAUGAGACUGGGGAUAUUAGGAAUAUUAGUGAUCAUGAUAUUGGGGAUAUUGGUGAUCAUGAUAUUGGGGAUAUUUGCGAUCAUGAUACUGGGGAUAUUGGUGGUCAUGAUUUAGGGAUAUUGGUGAUCAUGAUAUUGGUGAUCAUGAUAUUGGGGAUAUUGGUGACCAUGAUAUUGGGUAUAUUGGUGAUAAUGUUACUGGUGAUCAUGAUACUGGGGAUAUUGAUCAUUAUAUUAGGGAUAUUGGUGAUCAUGAUAUUGGGGAUAUUUGCGAUCAUGAUACUGGGGAUAUUGGUGGUCAUGAUUUAGGGAUAUUGG